GAUGAAGAACGUAGCGAAAUGCGAUAAGUAAUGUGAAUCGCAGAAUUCAGUGAAUCAUCGAAUCUUUGAACGCACAUUGCGCCCGUCAGUAUUCUGGCGGCCAUGCCUGUUCGAGCGUCAUUACGCCCCUCAAGUCCCCUGUGGACUUGGUGUUGGGGAUCGGCGAGGCUGGUUUUCCAGCACAGCCGUCCCUUAAAUUAAUUGGCGGUCUCGCCGUGGCCCUCCUCUGCGCAGUAGUAAAACACUCGCAACAGGAGCCCGGCGCGGUCCACUGCCGUAAAACCCCCCAACUUUUUAUAGUUGACCUCGAAUCAGGUAGGACUACCCGCUGAACUUAAGCAUAUCAAUAAGCGGAGGA
rnacentral:misc_RNA from 1 species